AGAAAAUUGAAGCCAUCUUUCGUUUUUGCAAAGCUGGAACAAGGAGGCAGGUUUUCAGUGAAGUAAGAGGCCUUUCAAUCCAUUCCAUUCACUUAUAGGAGAGUGGUUUUCCUUCGAGAUUUUGAUUGUGGGAGGAUCUGUUACUCCUAUUCUACUCUAGAUAGACUAUGUCUUGCAACUUGUAUUUGCUUUCCAGUGUUAAAUUUCCAAGAUAGACAAAUGCUAUUUGAAGAUUUAGCAUUGCAAGCCGUUGACGGAAAUUCUGGCAGAUGAAGGAGAUGGAACAACAGAAAAGAUUGAAUUCCAGUAAACUGAGAACUUCAG
rnacentral:misc_RNA from 1 species